rnacentral:snRNA from 1 species
GGAUGUGAGGGUGAUCUGGCUGCGACAUCUGUCACCCCACUGACCACCAGGGUUGAUUCGGCUGAUCUGGCUGGCUAGGCGGGUGUCCCCUUCCCUCAAUGUGCCACAUGUGUCCCUCCCGAAGCUGCGUGCUUGGCCAGGACAACCUUCCCUGAUAGAGGACUGGUCUUUGGUCAAGAGUAUACAAGUAGCUGUGCUCCUCUGCUAGAACCUCCAAACAAGCUCUCAAUACGUAUUUGUUGGGUUAACAAAAUCCCAUUCAUUUCUAAUCUUCUCUUGACUUCUGGUAAAGUUAAUACUCAUAAUCCAUAUAGUC